GACGAACGCUGGCGGCGUGCCUAAUACAUGCAAGUCGAGCGAAGUUUUUCUGGUGCUUGCACCGGAAAAACUUAGCGGCGAACGUGAGAGUAACACGUAAAGAACCUGCCUCAUAGACUGGGACAACUAUUGGAAACGAUAGCUAAUACCGGAUAAUAGCAUUAACUGCAUGGUUGAUGUUUAAAAGUUGGUUUUGCUAACACUAUGAGAUGGCUUUGCGGUGCAUUAGCUAGUUGGUGGGGUAAAGGCCUACCAAGGCGACGAUGCAUAGCCGACCUGAGAGGGUGAUCGGCCACACUGGGACUGAGACACGGCCCAGACUCCUACGGGAGGCAGCAGUAGGGAAUCUUCCGCAAUGGGCGAAAGCCUGACGGAGCAACGCCGCGUGAGUGAAGAAGGAUUUCGGUUCGUAAAGCUCUGUUGUUAGGGAAGAAUGAUUGUGUAGUAACUAUACACAGUAGAGACGGUACCUAACCAGAAAGCCACGGCUAACUACGUG
rnacentral:rRNA from 1 species